rnacentral:rRNA from 1 species
UUGGUGAGGUAAUGGCUCACCAAGGCGACGACGGGUAGCCGGCCUGAGAGGGUGACCGGCCACACUGGGACUGAGACACGGCCCAGACUCCUACGGGAGGCAGCAGUGGGGAAUAUUGCACAAUGGGCGAAAGCCUGAUGCAGCGACGCCGCGUGAGGGAUGACGGCCUUCGGGUUGUAAACCUCUUUCAGUAGGGAAGAAGCGAAAGUGACGGUACCUGCAGAAGAAGCGCCGGCUAACUACGUGCCAGCAGCCGCGGUAAUACGUAGGGCGCAAGCGUUAUCCGGAAUUAUUGGGCGUAAAGAGCUCGUAGGCGGUUUGUCGCGUCUGCCGUGAAAGUCCGAGGCUCAACCUCGGAUCUGCGGUGGGUACGGGCAGACUAGAGUGAUGUAGGGGAGACUGGAAUUCCUGGUGUAGCGGUGAGAUGCGCAGAUAUCAGGAGGAACACCGAUGGCGAAGGCAGGUCUCUGGGCAUUAACUGACGCCGAGGAGCGAAAGCAUGGGGAGCGAACAGGAUUAGAUACCCUGGUAGUCCAUGCCGUAAACGUUGGGCACUAGGUGUGGGGGACAUUCCACGUUUUCCGCGCCGUAGCUAACACAUUAAGUGCCCCGCCUGGGGAGUACGG